CCCGGAAAUCAGCAGCCAGACUCCCUCCGGGGCCUUAUUCAUUUCCAAUCAUCGGUAAUCUCCAUCAGCUUGGUAAAAAGCCCCAUCAAUCAUUUGCCAAAUUAUCCAGAACUUAUGGACCUCUGAUGUCUCUUAAGCUAGGGAGCAAAACAACCAUACUUGUAUCAUCUGCAACUGUUGCAAGAGAAGUGCUACAAAAGUAUGACCGGAUGUUUUCAAGCCGAGCAAUCCCCACUGCAGUUCAAGCACUCGAUCACCACAAGUUCUCUUUGGUCUGGCUGCCACCUUCCAGCCAAUGGCGGAACAUGAGCAAGAUGUGCAAAGAUAAUAUUUUUGCAACACCAAGGCUCGAUGCUAACCAAGGCCUUCGUCAAGAAAAGCUUCAAGAAUUACGUGAUUAUUUGCGUCGGUCUAGCCAUAGCAGGAAAGCUGUGAUUGUUGGUGAUGCAGCCUUCACAACAUCUCUUAAUUUGAUAUCAAGGACUCUAUUUUCUAAAGAUUUUGCCAACUAUGACUCUGACUCGUCUCAAGAACUCAAAAGAGAUUGUGUGGGGGUGAUGAAAGCUGCUGGCGCUCCUAAUCUCUCAGAUUACUUUCCAGUUCUACAGAUGAUUGAUCCUCAGGGAAUCAUGAGGGACAGCAAGUUCUAUUUCCAGAAGUUGUUUGAUAUUUCUGAUGAUAUCAUUAAUGAACGGCUACAGGUCAGAGGUACAUCAGAGGCUAAGAAGAAUGAUCUGUUGGAAGCACUGCUGGAUCAUAGCAUAAAGAAUGAGUUUGAGUUCGGCCGCAAUGAUCUCAAACAUUUGCUUUUGGUAAGUGUUAACCUGAUCACCUUUAUAAGCUAGUUGGUUAUAAAUUUACAUGGCUAAAAACUUUGUCAAUGUAUAAUUAAUUUCUUGUCCUUCCGUUGACCCUGGGGCUGAUUCUGUGCAUUAAUAUUAUAGUCGAUGGGAAGUUUUGCUCGACUGAUUCUCUUAAGAAAUUAAAUGGCAACCUCUGACAUUGAUUGUCAUGAAAAUUUAUCAUUUGGUAAAAUGCUGAAAAUUAAUGAUAUCCUCUAGCUAUAGAAUGACUGCUAUAACAUGGCUUGUAGGGUACUUAACUUGUAAAGUGCAGGGCAGAAAUAUAGGUUGGAACUUGGAAUAGAAUUGAAUCUUUAGUGGAAAUCUUCAACUUUGCACGAUAAUCUCACAUCAUAUGGCAGGAAUUAGGAAAUCUGUUGGCUUGACAUCAUUCUAAGUAUGGUUUCUACCAGGAGCUAAUUGUGGCAGGAACAGAAACUAAUUCAACCACUGUGGAGUGGGCUAUGGCAGAGUUACUACGCAGCCCUGAUAAGAUUGCUAAAGCUAAAGCCGAGCUCAAGGAAGUCAUUGGACAGAAGGAAGUAGUCCAAGAAUCAGAUAUCUCGAGGCUCCCUUACUUGCAAGCGGUAAUCAAAGAAACUUUUCGGCUACACCCCGCAGGACCAUUGCUUGUUCCUCGCAAAGCUAAUGAUGAUGUAGAAAUCAACGGUUACAUAGUGCCAAAGAACACACAAGUACUUGUCAACGUGUGGGCUUCGGGUAGAGAUCCCACAACAUGGUCAGAUCCUAAGAUUUUUGAGCCAAAGCGAUUUUUAGGCAGUGAAAUUGAUGUGAGAGGCCAGCAUUUCGAGCUCAUCCCCUUUGGUGCAGGGAGGAGAAUAUGUCCUGGAUUGCCUCUGGCUUAUCGAAUGGUGCAUUUGAUGCUAGCUGCUUUCAUUCACAACAUUGACUGGAAGCUUGAAGAGGGAAUGAAACCAGAAGAUUUGGACAUGGAUGAAAAAUUUGGGCUGUCAGUUCACAAGGCUUUGCCUCUGGAGGCUAUUCCAGUUAAGCUAUGAGUGCAAUCCAAUAAUUUGUAGGCCUAAUCAUUUCAGAUGAUUAGAAUUGAGAUUGUUGCGUGUUUUGUAUGUAAAAUCUUUAACUAGAACACUGAAACGUUCGAUCCCUUCACAUGUAGCGCGUAUAUGACCAAGAAAACCACCUAAGUGGUCAAAUUUUAAUGCCAAGGAUGUUGGUAACAAUUGUUUUCAAUAAAUAAAAAAAAAGAAGAAGAAAGCCUCUCAAAGCACCUGCAAAUAUUUCAAAAAAGGCCAAGUCAAGUUGGAAGAACAAUAAUAUACUCUAGAUGGCUGUUGACAUCAACGACUUUUUAAUUCCUUGGGAACAAAAACUCUUUAAACAGCCAUUGAAUUGUAAAGUGGAAAAAAUACAAAAUGGGACAUCACCCCAAAAUGUCAAAAACAAAAUAAGAAAAGCAGAGACAGGGGUUACAGACUCCAAAAAGUCAAUAUGGUAGCCUGAUUAAUAUUUCCAGCUAAAUCCAGUUGAGGUAGCCUGAUUAGUAUGUCUAGCUAAAUCCAGCUUUCCAACAGUCACAGCUCAAGCAGAAAUAUUUAAGUACUCAGGGUAAUUUGCGCUGAUAAAGAGGCGGAGCACCAAGAGCUUCCCGUUCUCCUCUCUCCACUUUACCUAUUCAAUAGGGAUAAUUUCAGAAAGAGCAAAUUACCUGGAUGACUACCAAACUUUUAGAAUCGUUGAGUUUUGACCAUUGAACUAUUAAAAAUCUGGUUUUAACCACUGAAUUAUCUAAAGUUUAGAUAUCGAGUCAUUCUGUUAGAUUUAAUCAUUAAACAUGACAGAUUUGAGUGUUCGCACGAUUUAAGAGACAAAAGAAAGAGGUAUAGUUAAUGAUUAAAUAUGACGGAAUGACAAAAAAUUUAAACAUUAGAUAGUUUAGUGAUCAAAACCAAACUUUUAAUAGUUCAGUGGUUAAAACUCAACGAUUUCAAAAGUUCAAUGGUCAUCCGAAUAAUUUGCUCUUUCAGAAACCUCCCCUGAAGUUUCUGAGAGUCUCACUACCCUCCUUUGAGGUUUCUAAAAUAUCAGAAACCUCUUCUAUUAUGUCAUUGGGGUCCAAUUGUUACAUCAAACAUGGAGAAAUGACUUAAUUACCCACACAACUUAAGAGAUAUUUCACAAUUAUGUUCACAUGAUUAGUUAAAUUGUUAUUAACUAGUUAUCUAUUUGGCAAACAAGUUUUUUGCCAAGUUUUUCUCCUACAAGUUUUUUAACCAUCUUAGUUACAAUGGGCAAGAAAAUGUCUGCGUGCAUGCAUUUGCUUCACAGCCGCGACUGGCUAUCCUUUUAUUAGUUCAUGUUUGUUCAUGCAUUUGUUCUUUUUUCCGUUUUACUCUUUUGUAGUAGCUUAUGAUUAAAUUUUUACCAUUAGAAAUGAUUUUAUAUGCGCAUUCCCAGCCUAAACUGCUCUACUUGACGCACCUUGCAAAUUGUUGAAAUUCUGUUAAUGGGCUAAUGCUGGUAAAAGAACUGAGAUGUAUAUACAUCAUGAUAUGAAAUACUGCUUGUUCAAGUAAUAGUAUAGUGGUAUGAGUUCAAGUCCAUUACCCAAACUUGCUAAAGAUAAUAAAAGACAAAAGAUGUAACGUUGAUUGAUUAGAAAAAUUUGUAGCUUAAUAUUGGAGUAAAUUUUGCACAUACUAUUAGUGUAUAUACUAUCACGAUUAGAUGAAUGAUACAUGAAUAAAUUUUAAAUUUCUAAUUCAAAAUUUGUACAUGUGUCAUAUAUCUAAUGGUGUAUCUAAUGGUGUAUAGGAGAUUAAUCAUAAAUAUUAAGACAAGCUCUGAUAUUAGUGGGUUGACUUUAUCAGAUUUUUUCUCCUUGUCUGGUUCAAUUGAAAAAAAAAGAAGAAGAAGAAGAAGAAGGAAUAAACAUGUUGAUAGCCGUCAAGACCAGACGGUGAAAAUUUCUUAACGAAAGAUCAAGAUUAAACUUUACAUUAAAAAAAAAUCAUCAAAACAAGGAGAUAGAAAAAUGAAUGGAAAUUAAUUCGCAUUAAGACGAAAAACGAACAGAUUAAAAUCUUAAUAAGGGUUAAAAAAAUGAAUGUUGAAUGAACCGAGAUCCCAAAUUGGCAAAAGAAAAUAGAGUUUUCACCACCUUAUCCACUUGCCGGUUCGAGAUUAGAUUGCAAAUCGAGAACUUUUGGAGUUAUGGAAUCAUAGAUUGAACCUGAAGAAUGGGAAAAAAAUUCUUUGAAGGUACUGAAGCCAAAGGAAGAGAAAGAGAAUAUGGGGAGAGAGAGAGGAAAGCGACGGCUCCACUGUUGAUCGUUGGGCUUUGUGGUUAUGAGACACGGGAUCCUCAGUGCCACUUUUCCGGUGGCAAUUCAGUGCCACUUUUAUAGUUAUGUCAAGUGUCCUGUUUAUGUAAUUUGUCAUGUGCUAUUUAUUUAAAUUUCUUCUAUUAUCACGUGAUAAGUGGGAUUGACACUGAAUUUGGUACCGACUAGUGAUAUAGAGAAUCUUAACUAAUGGUUAUGAUAGGUUUCAUUUAGUUUGUAGGAAACUCAAAAACCGUUGGUUAAUGGUUCGUCCGAUUUUUAUCGGUUCAAAAGGUUUGAUUGAUUAUUGACGGCUUUAUAUUACUCAAUGGAUGUAGCAUUCAAUCGGAUCAUAGCACUAGCGGAGCAAAAAAAAAUUCUCAGUGAGAGCAAAAGUAACACUAAAAUUUUUUACCUAUUCUUUUCCUAAUUUUUUAAGUAAAAAAAUAUUCAUCAACAAGUUAAAAUGAAAAGUCUUUUUAAGCUCACUUUAAAUGAAACUUUGUGGCUUACAUAUUUUUUUAGAAUAUUAGUUCAUGAACUAACUUAAAGGACCACGUAAUUCUUUCGUUUCCUUCAUAAGAAAAAUCUGAGAGCAUACUUAAAAUUAUAUCAAAAUUCUAUGAAUACUAUAGGAAUUUAAGGAGAGCAGUGGGGACCCGUGCCCCUGGUGCCCCCACCUUAAAUCCGCCACUAGAUCAGAGUUAAGGUAAAUUCACAGUUCAAUCGAUCGAAUCGACCGAUGCAAUCCGAUUUCAAAAACACUCUCCAUACCCCAUCUUCUCCACCUAGCUAGAUUGUACCCAAGUCAGGUCUGCCAGUGGUCUUCGAAAGUGGUGGAGCCCAAACUUAGGAAAAAAAGGCCUCAAUUUGUGCUGUUGGUUGCCUAAUUGGACUGCAGGUUUCUACACAUAUUGCACCGGCCUUUCCAUCCUUAUCCGAUCUUUAUAUUCAAAAUAUCUCUACAAUAAUAAAGCCAGCGCAAAUGGACACUCAAAAUCUCUUUAUCCAAUCAGUAGGGAUGGCAACGGGACGAGGUUGGAGCGGGGGAUCCCUCCCCAUCCCUCGCCCCGUCUCUCGUUUCUCGCUCACCCCGCCCCGCACCCGCAGGGUAAAUAAAAAUUUGUUAUAUAAUUUUAUUAUAGUUAAAAUUUAGCAAAUAAUCAAGUACUAAAAUAUCAAAACAUUAUCAAAUUAUUAUUUAUUAUAAUUUCACAAUUGAAACUUAUAAAAACAAUCAAACAAAAGUUAUUUGAAUACAAUCCAACAUGAUAAAAUAAAUACAACUAAAGUAGUCAAGUUUUCACUUUUUGCACAAAUACAAUCACUAAUUCAUUAUUAUACUUGUGCUUUUUUUUUUGAAAAAAAAUGUUAUUGUAUUAAGCGUAACUAGGAAAUUAGUAUAAAUGUAUUAGUAAAUUUAAUAUAACUAAUUAAUAAUUUGUAUUAGUACACAUAUAUAAUUAUUAGUAUAAUUGAUAAUAUCAAUUAUAUUACAUAUACUAAUAUAUAUUAUAUAAUACAUAUAACUAAUAAUAUCAUUAUCAUAAGUUUGUAACUAAUUAAAUUAUAUAUUAUAUACAAUUAUAUACAUAUUAUAUAUAUAUAUUUAAAGCGGGUGGCGGGCCGGAGAUAGGGCGGAGGUACACUUCCCGCCCCCGCCCCGUUUCUAAGCGCCUCAUCCCACCCCCGCCCCAUUAGACCCCGCGGGGCGGGUUGCCAUCCUUGCCAAUCACCAUUUGCGCAGUUAGUCAGUUACCCCAGUUUGCAGUCGUAAAAACAUGUUGCCCUGCUGAUGGAUCCAGAGAGAGUAAAAUAUUGGAAGUCCAGAGGGUAAAACAAUAGGGGGAAGGAAGGAAGAAAGAAAGGCUUAUGGAUACUACAGUGUCUUACCUUGUGCUCUAUUUUGUCAUCUGGGCAUGCAUCUAUGUGCUCACUUCAAAUUUAAGAUCUCGGAAAUCAGCAACCAGACUCCCUCCGGGGCCUUAUUCAUUUCCAAUCAUCGGAAAUCUCCAUCAGCUUGGUAAAAAGCCCCAUCAAUCAUUUGCCAAAUUAUCCAGAACUUAUGGACCUCUGAUGUCUCUUAAGCUAGGGAGCAAAACAACCAUACUUGUAUCAUCUGCAACUGUUGCAAGAGAAGUGCUACAGAAGUAUGACCGGAUGUUUUCAAGCCGAGCAAUCCCCACUGCAG
rnacentral:lncRNA from 1 species